GACGAACGCUGGCGGCGUGCUUAACACAUGCAAGUCGAACGGUGAAGCGCCUUCCUUUUUGGUGGGUGUGGAUGAGUGGCGAACGGGUGAGUAACACGUGAGUAACCUGCCCCCUUCUUCUGGAUAACCGCAUGAAAGUGUGGCUAAUACGGGAUAUUCUGGGUCUGUCGCAUGAUGGGUCUGGGAAAGAUAUUGUUUCGGUGGGGGAUGGGCUCGCGGCCUAUCAGCUUGUUGGUGGGGUGAUGGCCUACCAAGGCGGUGACGGGUAGCCGGCAUGAGAGGGUGGACGGUCACACUGGGACUGAGACACGGCCCAGACUCCUACGGGAGGCAGCAGUGGGGAAUAUUGCACAAUGGGCGCAAGCCUGAUGCAGCGACGCCGCGGGAGGGAUGGAGGCCUGCGGGUUGUGAACCUCUUUCGCCAGUGAAGCAGGCCUGCCUCGUUUGUGGGUGGGUUGACGGUAGCUGGAUAAGAAGCGCCGGCUAACUACGUG
rnacentral:rRNA from 1 species